GACGAACGCUGGCGGCGUGCUUAACACAUGCAAGUCGAACGGAAAGGCCCUGCUCUUGUUGGUUGCUCGAUUGGCGAACGGGUGUGUAACACGUGAGUAACCUGCCCUUGUCUUUGUGAUAACUUCAGGAAACUGGGGCUAAUACCGGAUAGGAUCUCCUGCUGCAUGGUGGUGGUUGGAAAGUUUCGGCGGUUGGGGAUGGACUCGCGGCUUAUCAGCUUGUUGGUGGGGUAGUGGCUUACCAAGGCUUUGACGGGUAGCCGGCCUGAGAGGGUGACCGGCCACAUUGGGACUGAGAUACGGCGCAGAAGCCUACGGGAGGCAGCAGGGGGGAAUAUUGCACAAUGGGCGGAAGCCUGAUGCAGCAACGCCGCGUGCGGGAUGACGGCCUUCGGGUUGUAAACCGCUUUCGCCUGUGACGAAGCGUGAGUGACGGUAAUGGGUAAAGAAGCAACGGCUAACUACGUG
rnacentral:rRNA from 1 species